UUCCAGACCAUCAAGUGAGACAUACUGGUUUUCCUAGCCCUGAAACUAUGUUGAUCUCGGCAGCAAAAACAUUUCAUUGGCUAGGAAGGAAUAUUUUUAAUAAUAAUGAGCACAGUUGAAUUUCGUCAGAAGAAGAUGGGAAAUUUCAUUCCCUUGAGGGUGUCAAGGCUGUUUUUAGUGGCCUGGGCAAGGUGUGUUGCUUUUUAGUGGCAUGAAACUGGGAGGCGGAGCUUGCAGUGAGCCGAGAUCGCGCCACCGCACUCCAGCCUGGGCAACAGAGCAAGACUCCGUCUCAAAAAAAAAAAAAAAUCAAAAAACAAACAAACAAAAAACUGUAUUAAAGCCUCAAAAUAACAUUUCUCUCAAUGACUAUUCUCCAUAGAAACCAGAUACCUCAUACGUACUUGUAUCUUUUCUUGAUGAUUCUGAUAUUGAAUCUACUCAGGAAUACGAUUUUGAAGACCCACUUCUGAGGUAACAGGAGAAUGGAAAUAUGAUCUUAAGUCGAACUUACAGGCAUUUCAGGGAGAUCGUGUGCUCAGAUUAAAAGUGAAACUUCUUUACAAGUCAAAACAUGCUUUCGUAGCCCAGUAUAUUGGCCUCACCACAAGCCCUCUACAAUUAUGCUAGAAAGGUUAGACAAUUUUCCAAGGCCUCUUGUACCCACUCCACUGGGACUGGAAUUGGUGCUUGGAGAAAGCAUCAAGGUGUAUACGCUUGGGGGCACUAUGCAUGUGUCCUCCUGUGUGCCACAGGAGCACCUGCAGUCGCUAACUGGGGUUGAAAAACAAACCUCCCCCAAACUGGGGUUAACGAUCAGGUCUACUGGAAGUGGAAGAGAAGAUGCAGAGCAAUUUGUUUUUUACUCUUCAGCAAUAAAGUAACAAGCAUGUAAACAUUUCUUUGGUGGAAAAAGAAAAGUCAGAUAGACCUCAAGGCUGGGUUGAUUAGUACCUAGAUACCACGUUUAGAAUCCGACAUUAAGAAACAUAAGGAAUUUUCUGAGAUGUCUGUCUUCCAUCAUGUAAGAAGAAAUGAUGAGAUGGCUGAACUCUUACGGUGCUUAGAUUUCUAGGAAGCAAGAAAAAUCAUACUUUCUCCAUUGAGUCCUGCACCCCAGUGACUCA
rnacentral:lncRNA from 1 species